GAGAAACCACACUCGCCUCAGUCUGCGCCGAUGAAACGGCGGGCGCGAUUGGAGAGGAGGGCCGGGGGCAUCGUUCUGCUCUCCGUGGCUGGAAGAAGAAUUAUGUCCUGUGAGGAGACCGAAGGAAGGGGAGCAGCUGUUCUGCUGUACGCCGUGGGAGUUGGUCAGAACAUGUGAGGCCGUGCGUCUGCUUAGGCUCUAGAUGUCCGCUUCAGGAAACUCCUUCCCGAAAAAGAAGAGUAAAAUCAAUUCUAGCAUUGAGCUGCAUCGAGAAGUCUGUAAAAGAUUAAAAGGUCGCAGAACAUUAACCAAAUACAGCGGGAGCCUUAUCCCUUGAAAGAACGUGCCGUGCCUCUUGUUAGUGUGGGCUGAUUGGAGAGGGAAAUAAAAUCAAAGGAAAGGGCAUCUAAUGUCUACGAGGAAUCAAUGACAGGACAACUUUGUGCACAGAAGGUAAGGAAUGUAGCAAGCUGCCUUAAAAGCAGGUGAGAAAAUCUAGCCCAGUAUACCCUGCUCUGACUCACACAGCAAUGCUGCUGACUCCAAACCCUUCAUAUUGUGUGGUCAGUCAAUCCUUCUGUUAUGUACUGAGUUGAAUAGGACCCAAAAGGCAGCAGUCUGAUUGAUCCUUAAACAAUAGGAUCCAGAAUGCAGCA